rnacentral:lncRNA from 1 species
CUCCUCUCUCCGCUGCCCGGGUCAACCAGCGAACAGUGGAGGAACGGUGGGCCGGUCAGCGGAGUUAGAUGGCAGCAAAGGUGGGCCAGAUUGGUGGGAUAAGGAUCCAACUAGGUCUGUCCGCUUCCGUCCGCGAGCGCCGGGUCCACUAGAUGUCUGCAGCGAGCGUUGGACUUGACGGUCCUUCUUUCUUUUUUCUUUCCUUUGUUUUUUCCUCCUGGCUUUCCUCUAUUUCUUUCCUUAUUCUUUAUCUCUUUCAUCUUUCUUCCCUUUCUAUGUCUCUUUCUCUCUUUCUUUAUACUUCUUUCUCUAGAUUUUUAAAAUUCUGUCUCUCUCUGUUUCUCAUUUCCUUCCUCACUUCCUCCCUCGCUGCUCCUUUCCCUCCCUCCUUCCCUUCCUCUGUCUGUCUCUUUUCUCCAUUUCCUUUCUCCCUCCCUUCCUCUGUCUGUCUUUGUCUGGAUUCUAGAAGACUCUCCUCAUUCUGUAUCUCCCUGUGUCCUAACCGAUCCGCGACCAAGUCCCGUUUCUUCUUUCUCCUUCUGAGAUGCAUCUUCAAACUCCCAAGUUGUCUUUUGACUCUGUUGCAGCCUAUGCAGAGACACGUUGGGGAACGGUUUCUGUGAAGUUGGGGAGGAGGUGCUGCGUUUUGGGCCUUCAAAAGACUUCCACUCAUGGUUUUGGUUUCCCAGUCAUGGGCUGCCCUGCCAUCUGGAGCUCUGG